UGGAACUCUGGAAGCUCAAAGGCACCUUCAAGGCUUCAACUGAACAUGCAAUAGGGAGAGUGGGAGACAGCGACGCCGAGUGAACCAAGCAGUGGUGGAGCACCUUCGAAGGGACGACGGCUGCUACGCGAUGGAGGUGGCUGUUCCAAGGAACGACGGCUGCUGCGCGACGGAGGUGACUGGUCGAAGGAGGUGACUGCGCGACGGAGGUGACUGCUUGACGGAGGUGACUGCUCGACGGAGGUGACUGCGCGACGGAGGUGACUGCUCGACAACGAACCCGUGUGGCCAUGUGAGACUGUGAGACUGUGAUGGCGUUAUCUGAUUCUGAAGCUCGAUGAGAA
rnacentral:lncRNA from 1 species